CCGAUCACUCCUCUCUGAU
rnacentral:snRNA from 1 species